CAGUUUUAUGACAAGUUUAACAUCCGUCACAAUAUUGCCGAACUUCUUGAAUACCUAUGGCAGGUUCCCAGUCACCGCAACGCAUGGAGACAGAUUGCUAAAGAGGAGGAGAAGGGCGUAUAUUUGAAUUUCUUAAACUUUCUGAUAAAUGAUAGCAUUUAUCUACUUGAUGAAAGUUUGAACAAAAUACUUGAACUCAAGGAACUGGAAGCUGAAAUGUCAAAUACAGUGGAAUGGGAGCGAAGACCAGCUCAAGAAAGGCAGGAGAGAACUCGAUUGUUCCAUUCUCAAGAGAAUAUCAUCCGGAUUGAUAUGAAGUUGGCAAAU